rnacentral:lncRNA from 1 species
ACCAUGAUUUCCUUAGGAUAUUGAACUUUGUAUUUUUGUUUUGUUUAUUUUUUAUUUAUUUAUUUAUUUUUGAGACAUGGUUUCUAGAACUCACAGAGAUCCUCUAGCCUCUGCCUCCCUGAGUGCUGGGAUUACAAGUAUGUGCUACCACACCUGGCUCUGAACUUGGUAUUCUCACGGUUUUGUUUUUUGUUUUGUUUUUGCUAUUUUUGUUUCGUUUUUCAAGACAGUUUUUCUCUGUGUAGCUCUGGCUGUCCUGGAACUUGCUCUGUAAACCAGGCUGGCCUUGAACUCAGUGAUCCACGGGUGUUCAAGCCAUCAGUGCUCGGCUUUAUACUCAAGUUAAGGCUCCCUGGUCCAGAUGGCAGUAAAUAUUUAAAUCAGUGGUUCUGCCAAGCAACCCAUUUGUAAAAUGAAACUUUAAAAUGAUAGAAUUUGCUGUUACCUGUUUUGUUUGUGAGUUUUCUUUCGUUUCCUUUUGAGCUUAGAUUCUACAUAGCCCAGAAUGGCCUUGAACUGAUCUUGAUCUUGCCUUAGCCUCCCAAAUGUUAGGAUUACAAGUGUGAACUAGCAGGCCUGUCUUCCCUGCUCUUUUUUGUUUGUUCUUUUUUGAUACCUGGUCUCACUUUGUAGCUCUGGCUAUCAGGGAACUCAGAUCUGCCUCUUCCUGAGUAGUUUUGGGAUUAAAGGCAUGAACUACCAUGCCCAGCCUUACUUGUUUUUGUUUGUUUGUUUAGCUCUGGCAAGUACAUAAUGGAGUCAUCUGGUGAUUGGAAUUGAAUGUAGGCCACUGUGAAAUGGCAAAGGCAUUUAGAACUUAUGCAGUAAUCUAUCACUUCUCAAUUUACAUGUAAUAUUGCUGGAAAUUUCAGGGUACAGAUUGUCCAGAAAAUCUUUGGUAUGUGUGUGAUCUCCGCACUGAAAAGGCCGAGGCAAGAGGAUUUGACAUUUCCAGCAAUGAUCUCUAAACUGGGAGUUCAGGUGGUUUUGUGUAUGCAUGUGAGUGAGUACAUGAACAUAUAUGCAGAUGGAGGUCAGAAGUUGCUGUUUUGCUGUUGCAUGUCUUCCUGUUGGUCUGACAGAGGUGAUGAGGGAAUGAAGAAAGGACAGACACACAUACAGAAAAGCUGGGAUCGGAUGGACCAUGCACUCUGAUGGAGACGCAGCAGGAGAAGCCCAGGGACUCUGUGUCUAUUUUAAACAUCUCAGUGGAGGAGGCGAGUUUACUGUACAGACCAGGGGGGAACAGGCUGGCUGAUCUCAGUAGGGGGUUUCUAUAGGGAAGCAGUCUCAGGUUGUAAGCUGAGGAGGCAGCUGCAGUCCACACUUCAUGUACACAGUGUCAACAUCUACACAUGGACUAGGGAAGGCUUUGCUGUUUCCAUGGGGC